GAGAAGUUCAUUUCUCUGAUAUAAGUAUUUGUAAUAUGUUUUGUGAACACUAGUAUUAAUAAAACCACAUAUGUAGUAAGCCUUUUUAUUUAUUAAUUUAAUUUUUUAAAUUAAUUUAUUUUUUGAGGAAGAUCAGCCCUGAGCUAACAUCUGCUGCCAAUCCUCCUCUUUUUGCUGAGGAAGACUGGCCCUGAGCUAACAUCCGUGCCCAUCAUCCUCUACUCCACAUAUGGGACACCUACCACAGCAUGGCUUUCCAAGUGAUGCCAUGUCCACACCCAGGUCCAAACCCGUGAACCCCGGGCCUCCCGAAGCGAAACAUGAGCACUUAACCGCUACGCCACCGGGCCUGCCCUAUAGAUGCCUAACACAGCAUGGCUUGCCACACAGUGCCAUGUCCACACCGGGGAUCUGAACAGGCGAACCCUGGGACACUGAAGCGGAAAACGUGAACUUAACUGUUGUGCCACCGGACAGGCCCCCAAGAUCUUAUUCUUAAAAUGCAAAAUUGUUCAAAGGCUUAUUUCAGCUGACCAACGUAAAGAAGAUUCAUUGAAGGUGUUUCAGGUGGAGAUUCACUGUCUAUUCUUUCCUAAAGAAUCCUCCAUUUAAGAUCUGCUCUUUGCACCGGGGAGAUCAAUAAGGGCUGGAGACAUGGGCAGAUGCUUACUUGAGUUCCCAUAAAAAGAGAAGAUAAAUGGUUAGCAUGUAGGUGACCUAUGGCUUCUCCAGUGCAAUCACGUGGAGGUGCCAAUGCGUCUUUGAAAGAUUUCAUUUUUUUCUGCUGUUAUAAGAAAUACUGGGGGGCAGUAAUUUCUGCUAAGAUUAAAUGUCCCAGUCUAUGCCUCAGAAAUACAAAGUUGUUUAUGAUUCCAUGUCUGAUUACAAUUUACCAGUGGAAUUUUUCCCAUUUAUUUCUUUUCCUGCAAUCCUCCCAUUUUUCUAUAAUCUUUGGUCCAUCCGCUUAAGUGAGUAGGAACUUAAUAAAGUACUCAGGACAAAUAUUUUCAACAUAUUCCCAGGUUUCUGCUUUCCUGAGAACUGCCUAUGUUAAUGUUUGAUCUACAGACAGUCUUUUUUUCACCCAGCCCUUGAUGGGGAACCAUCAGUACCUUAUUUCCAAAAAAUACUGUAUUAAAGACUCAUGUUUCUGCUUUUGUUACUCAAUACAUGUUUGUUUGACUGGAGAGGGAGGGAUGGCCAAAUACAGAUUUACUUGAUGUUCUGGAAACAUGUAGCUUUUAGGCUAAGUGGGAGGUCACCUGGUGCAGGAGUCCCGCCUCUGCCUCACACCCUUUCAGUCCCCACUCCUUGAGGAUAGUGUCAUCUUUCCACAGGCACAGCACCAGCCCCAGCUAAACUUCUCUGUAAGGAUGGCAUGUGUCUGCUCCUCUUCCCUUGGGAUCAGGGAAGAUAAGUGAAGAAACUGAGUGUCCUUGAUCUCGAGAUACUGUCAGACUAUCAUUGUAUACCUGAAAAAGGAAAUUUAAGAGGACCUCAUCCAGGAUAUCACAUUACAUUUAGUCAUCAAGUGUCUCUAAGACUCGUCUUGGUUACAGCAGUUUCCUCAGACUUUCCUUCCUUUUGCUGACCUUGAUAGUUUUGAGGAGUAUGGGUAAGUAUUUUGAAGGAUGCCCCUCUAUUAGAAUUUGUGUGAACUUUUUCUUAUGAUUAGACUGUGUUAUGGAUUUUGGGGAGGAAGACUACAGAGGUAAAGUGCCAUUCUUAUCACAUCAUUUCAAGGGUACCCACUAUCAACAUAAUUUAUCGCUAUUGAUGUUGACCUUGAUCACCUGGCUAAGGUGACGUUUGUCAGAUUUCUUCACUGUGAAGUUCCUAUGUUUUCUUCUUUCUAAACUGUACUCUUUGGAAGGAAGACCCUAUGCACAGCCCAUGCUUAAGGAGAGGGGAGUGAUGCUCGAUCUUCUCGAGGGAGGAAUGUCUAUAUAAAUUAUUUAGAAUUAUUCUGCAUGGGAGAUUUACCUAUUGUCUCCCACUUAUUUGUUUAUAUCCAUAUGGACUCAUGGAUAUUUACCUUAUAUCUUGGGUUACUAAGUAGAUUUUUAUUAAGUUGAAUUGUUGAGUUAGUCUCCCCAUUUAUUAUCCUCUCUAGACUUGGAAGGAGUUUAUUCAAAUUCUAAAACCAGUCCUAACUCACAGAAAAAAAAGUGCUAAUAUUUCAC
ensembl:lncRNA